rnacentral:rRNA from 1 species
AUUGAACGCUGGCGGCAGGCCUAACACAUGCAAGUCGAACGAGUGGCGGACGGGUGAGGAAUGUAUGGGAAACUGCCCGAUGGAGGGGGAUAACUACUGGAAACGGUAGCUAAUACCGCAUACCAUCGGAUGUGCCCCGAUGGGAUUAGCUAGUCGGUGGGGUAACGGCUCACCUAGGCGACGAUCCCUAGCUGGUCUGAGAGGAUGACCAGCCACACUGGAACUGGUACACGGUCCAGACUCCUACGGGAGGCAGCAGUGGGGAAUAUUGCACAAUGGGCGCAAGCCUGAUUCAGCCAUGCCGCGUGUAUGAAGAAGGCCUUCGGGUUGUAAAGUACUUUCAGCUAGGAGGCGUUACUCGCAGAAGAAGCACCGGCUAACUCCGUGCCAGCAGCCGCGGUAAUAC